rnacentral:lncRNA from 1 species
AAGGCCCUCUCCUUGGGUGAUUAGCCUUUGCUUAUGCAAAGAGGAAUCAACAAAGGUAUAAAAUAUCUCAAUUCACUUUGUUCUUGAGUUGAGUCUUGGUUCACCUUUCUACUAGGCUUUGAAUUUCAUGGGUAAUGUUUUGUUUUUAAGUGCAUACAAGCAUGAUUCCGCCUUUAAAUGUUAAUUGCAUGCUAUAGAUGUUGCUCAUUUGAUAGUAGACAUGAAUAAAGAUCGUAUUG